rnacentral:rRNA from 1 species
AUUGAACGCUGGUGGCAUGCCUUACACAUGCAAGUCGAACGGUAACGCGGGGCAACCUGGCGACGAGUGGCGAACGGGUGAGUAAUGUAUCGGAACGUGCCCAGUUGUGGGGGAUAACUGCUCGAAAGAGCAGCUAAUACCGCAUACGACCUGAGGGUGAAAGCGGGGGAUCGCAAGACCUCGCGCAAUUGGAGCGGCCGAUAUCAGAUUAGGUAGUUGGUGGGGUAAAGGCUCACCAAGCCAACGAUCUGUAGCUGGUCUGAGAGGACGACCAGCCACACUGGGACUGAGACACGGCCCAGACUCCUACGGGAGGCAGCAGUGGGGAAUUUUGGACAAUGGACGCAAGUCUGAUCCAGCCAUGCCGCGUGCGGGAAGAAGGCCUUCGGGUUGUAAACCGCUUUUGUCAGGGAAGAAACGCUCUGGGUUAAUACCUCGGGGUAAUGACGGUACCUGAAGAAUAAGCACCGGCUAACUACGUGCCAGCAGCCGCGGUAAUACGUAGGGUGCAAGCGUUAAUCGGAAUUACUGGGCGUAAAGCGUGCGCAGGCGGUUAUGCAAGACAGAGGUGAAAUCCCCGGGCUCAACCUGGGAACUGCCUUUGUGACUGCAUAGCUAGAGUACGGUAGAGGGGGAUGGAAUUCCGCGUGUAGCAGUGAAAUGCGUAGAUAUGCGGAGGAACACCGAUGGCGAAGGCAAUCCCCUGGACCUGUACUGACGCUCAUGCACGAAAGCGUGGGGAGCAAACAGG